rnacentral:rRNA from 1 species
UCUCCACCAGUUCCAGCAGUUCUUCGUCAUCGACCAUGUCCGCCUUGUUCAUGAACACAACGAUGUAAGGGACGCCUACCUGGCGUGACAGCAGGAUAUGCUCUCGGGUCUGCGGCAUCGGUCCGUCAGCAGCACUCACCACCAGAAUCGCGCCGUCCAUCUGCGCCGCUCCGGUAAUCAUGUUCUUCACAUAGUCGGCG